UGGGGAAUUUUGCGCAAUGGGCGAAAGCCUGACGCAGCAACGCCGCGUGUGUGAUGAAGGUCUUCGGAUUGUAAAGCACUUUCGACCGGGACGAAAUGCUCUGGCCUAACACGCCAGGGAGCCGACGGUACCGGGAGAAGAAGCACCGGCUAACUCUGUGCCAGCAGCCGCGGUAAUACAGAGGGUGCAAGCGUUGUUCGGAAUUAUUGGGCGUAAAGCGCGUGUAGGCGGCUUUGCAAGUCGGGUGUGAAAGCCCUCGGCUCAACCGAGGAAGUGCGCCCGAAACUGCAGAGCUCGAGUGCCGGAGAGGGUGGCGGAAUUCCCCAAGUAGAGGUGAAAUUCGUAGAUAUGGGGAGGAACACCGGUGGCGAAGGCGGCCACCUGGACGGUGACUGACGCUGAGACGCGAAAGCGUGGGGAGCAAACAGG
rnacentral:rRNA from 1 species